UAUUUAUUGCCCAAAACAACAGGGACUUCUAAAACUUUGAAUGAAAAAGCAGAUAAAAAAAGAUAUUUACUUUUAAAUAACAACAGUAAUAGUAAUAGUCAUAAUAGAAUGCCAUUCUGUUUGUAAACAAAGACUUUAUUGCAUGAAGCUGCUGGAGGAAAGACAUUCAGGCAUAAGCUAUAAAUUGAUAUUUUCCGCUUUCCAUCACUCCCAGAAAUAAUAACAUAUAGUUUCAUUCUUGAUUUUCCAUUAAACAUUUGGCGAUAGAGGUGAAAACAUCCAGACUGAUAAUCUUAUAGAAACUUUAGGUUAAUCAGGAAUCAAUCUGAGGAAGAAAUGGCUCAGAAAUUCAAUUCUUUCUCUCUUUUUUAAAAAUAUCUAUUUCUUUAAGAAAAUUUUUUUUUAAAGAAAACUGCCUUAAAUUUUAAUUUAAUUUGAAAAUUUAAAAUUAAUACAAUUAAUUUUAUUUACCUAAUAUAUUUUAAUUGAAUUAAAAUAAAAUAAAUUUAAUUCUAAUUUAAUUUAUGCUUUUUACAUUAUAUAUUUAUAACAGAAGUUCAGAGCACCUGUUUUUCCAGAUACCUAAAAUUAUACUUCAAUUCAACCAAUCAAUUUUUAUUACCAUCACAGACCAGCAUUAUGCUUCAAAAGAUAUUUCUCUAGGAAGGAAAGCUUUAUUUUAAAAUGAAAGAUGGCUAUGCAAAACAUUUCCCAGCAGAACCUCUGACACUAUAAA